rnacentral:rRNA from 1 species
AUUGAACGCUGGCGGCAGGCCUAACACAUGCAAGUCGAGCGGUAGCACAGAGAGCUUGCUCUCGGGUGACGAGCGGCGGACGGGUGAGUAAUGUCUGGGAAACUGCCUGAUGGAGGGGGAUAACUACUGGAAACGGUAGCUAAUUCCGCAUAACGUCGCAAGACCAAAGAGGGGGACCUUCGGGCCUCUUGCCAUCAGAUGUGCCCAGAUGGGAUUAGCUAGUAGGUGGGGUAACGGCUCACCUAGGCGACGAUCCCUAGCUGGUCUGAGAGGAUGACCAGCCACACUGGAACUGAGACACGGUCCAGACUCCUACGGGAGGCAGCAGUGGGGAAUAUUGCACAAUGGGCGCAAGCCUGAUGCAGCCAUGCCGCGUGUAUGAAGAAGGCCUUCGGGUUGUAAAGUACUUUCAGCGGGGAGGAAGGUGUUGAGGUUAAUAACCUCAGCAAUUGACGUUACCCGCAGAAGAAGCACCGGCUAACUCCGUGCCAGCCGCCGCAGUAA